rnacentral:rRNA from 1 species
GACGAACGCUGGCGGCGUGCUUAACACAUGCAAGUCGAACGGGUCUGCCCUGUUUUUUGCGGGGUGGGUCAGUGGCGAACGGGUGAGUAACACGUGAGUAACCUGCCCCUCACUUCUGGAUAACCGCUUGAAAGGGUGGCUAAUACGGGGUGUUCUGGCUGUGCCGCAUGGUGUGGCUGGGAAAGAUUCACUUUUGUGGUGUUUUGGUGGGGGAUGGGCUCGCGGCCUAUCGGCUUGUUGGUGGGGUGAUGGCCUGCCAAGGCUUUGACGGGUAGCCGGCCUGAGAGGGUGGGCGGUCACACGGGGACUGGGAUACGGCCCAGACUCCUGCGGGAGGCAGCAGUGGGGGGUAUUGCACAAUGGGCGGAAGCCUGAUGCAGCGACGUCGCGUGAGGGAUGGAGGCCUUCGGGUUGUGAACCUCUUUCGCCGGUGAAGAAGGUCCUGCUCUUUGUGGUGGGGUUGACGGUAGCCGGGUUAUGAAGCGCCGGCUAACUACGUG